CCCGCCUCCUGGGGCCCCACACCCCUGAAUGUCUGCUCCGUGUACCCCCUCCUGUUCUCCAGGACAGUGUGUCUGGCCUCAGACGCCCCAGGGGUGAGGAAGGCCCCUUCCCGUGUGGGUGGUGGGCUCCCCGUGUGGCUGGUGGGCUCCUCUGGGAGAGAUCUGAGCCCCCGCCCCCACUCUCCUGUCAUGGGAGAGGGAGACCUCCAGCUACAGGCCCCCAGAAGCACGUCCACGCCCCACCCCACCCCGGCCGCUGCUCCAAGGCCCUGGGAGAAGCCGCCUCAGGUGGCCAGCAGCUGGGGCCUGUCCCCUGCGGGGUCUCGGCCACCAUGGCCCCCGUCCUGGUGGGGGCCCUUGGCCCAAGAGAGAGGGUUGUGUUCUGUUCCACGUGCUGCCUGUGCCGUGGGCCCCAUGUUGGGAGGAGCCCCCGGAGCUGCCCAGCCAGACACAGGUGCCGAGGCCACCGCCCAAAGGCCCUCAGGUCACCGCAGGAGAGGCGGAGGCUAGACUGUCAGCAGGGGGGCCGUGGAGGCCCAAGGAAUUAACAGCUUUGGGAGCUGCAGGUGGUCCUGGAACCUUGACCCCCAGGCGGAGGCUCCAGCUGCCCCGGAGGGUAGAAGGGCCCCCACCAGGUGACAGGGCCACAGUGGCACCACCCUGCUUUGGGGAGACUUGCUUCAAAACCCCAUUUGGAGACUCAGGGGGGUCCACAGCACGAGGGGCCCGCCUGGUUAGCACGAAGAAGGGACCCCUACCCCGCCCAGUCCCAGCCCAGAGUCAUCCCCCGCCCGCAACUCCCCCGGCUUUCAUGGGUCAAUUUAGUGUUAACGUCUUCCCUGCCCCGGGCGGGGGGGCCCUCAGGGAUUCCAGAUCUGAGAAGUAGACACGGGAAAGGGGGAGGUGUCCUCUGCCAGCCCCACCUUCAGGGAGCACCCAUGGAGCAGGUGCCCACCCCACUGCUGUUUGCAGCCAAACUUGGCCCUGGGCCAUUUCUAGAUGCUUCUGAAGCCCAGAGUGGGGAGGGCUGCCUGGAGGCCUGUGUAGAGAGCCUGGCGUUGGUACGAUUUCACACUCACCCUGGAUGGUACAGCGUGCAGAGCGCUGGGUGGAGGCACUUGCCCUGAUUUCUGUCGCUCCGAGGCACGGGCCCAGGAGCAAAUGCCGUGUGAGGAGGGAUGGCCCGACAGUGAGGGCGUGCCGUUGGGGGGUGGGGGGAGUGCUGAGCAGCAGGUGGGGCUCUGGACGCCUCGCCCCCUGUGCACACUGGCUCCGGAUGCCUCCUGCCUGACUGAUGCUGUCCCGAGAGGUCUGCCCUCGGCCAUGGUGUGGGCAGCUGUGCCCUCUGGGACCCCUGAGCGGGUCCUGGGUGUGCCAGUGUUCAGUGUGGGAUGGGAGGGCUGGAUGGGGCCCCGAAGGGAUGGGCUGCCUCCUGCACCCCCAGGGACAGCUGCCAGGUGCAAAGGGGGAGAGACCACCGGGGAGGGCUUCCCAAGGAGGUGGCAUGCUGGGAGCUUCCCGCCUCCCUCUCUCCAAGGGGCCUGGGGCGCCUGCUGCCCAUGUCCAGGCCCUGUGUAGCCCCUGGAGCGUGUGGGCCCAUUGUUUGGUUCUGGAUUCUGCUGUCUCCUGAGGGGCGGGGGCUGGAGGGAGGGAGCUUAGGAGGCAGGAGGAGGGGACAGUGACCUCUGGUCUCGGACUCUUGCGUGGGUGGCCCGGCCGGUAGAGGCAUGGCCUGGGGGCCCUGUCUAGAGAGACCCUAGGGACGGGCAGAUCAGGUGCCGGCCGGGGAGGGAACCCUGCUGGGGGGAGGCCCUUGGUCCUGGCGUUUCCGGCCGUCACGUGGGCUUUGCGGUGCGCCGCACGUCCAGCUCUGAGCGGGUUCAUAAAGUUGCCUUAAUGUGCGUUGAUGAAAAUCCACUGAGGUCACCCCACGUCCCCUUGGCAUCUGCCAGGCACCCACAUGGGCCACGCCACCCCUCCCUGGGGUCUACGGGACCUGCUCCACAGCAAGCACAGAGCAGGAGGAGGCUCUCGUCAUCAUUCCUGCGGGCUCGGCCUGCACGUCGCCUGGGACCCCUGGGGCCCUCUGCGCCCCCACCAUCCCCCAGCUGUCACCCUCCGGCCCGAAGGUGGCUCAGCCCCCAUCUGUGCUCUUGCCUUGGCUGUCUUUGCACUUUCGUUCAUGUUCAUGCUCCAAAGAUACGUCAUGAUGCCUUCAGUGCCGACCGCAGCGCCUCCCGCGUGUCCCUGCAGCGCAGCCGGGUCUCUUCUCGUGGACGUGUCACCACCUGUGACAGGUGACGUGUGCCCUCCGUUUUCGAGCGACAGACGCCCGGGGGAAGAGCUCUAGUUUCCUACGGACCAGCUCACUGUCAGGUCGACGCCUGUGCCACCAGAUGGCCAGGGCGGGUUUGCCCGGGGACCGCGGGUAUGGAGUCAGGCGGCGGGGACGCUGGGGACAGUUCUGGAAAGCUCUGCUGCCCGGGGAUGAGUCCGGAUGCCCAGUGGGUCUGUGCACUUAGUAAACACAGUGGU
ensembl:lncRNA